AAGUGAUAAAAGCUGAGUUCAUUUUCCUCUGCAUUUUCAGCUACAAAACAGGAUGUCAAGCCUUUUUAUACACAAUAGAUGAAGAUGUCUGAGGCAGAAGAUAACUAACACAGUCUGAAGGAAGAGUUUUCACUCACACAGAAGGACGCUAGACUAAAGAGAAACUGGAGAGAUCUAAUGGGGCAGAAAUACACCCCAUUAUUAAUUGUAACUGGGGAUUUCGGAAAAGUACCUGGAUGGAGACAGGGUUCCGUUAAGCAUCAGCGUAGAGUCCUGAACCCUUCAAUCAGUGCCAUGUGGGAGAGUCCGUGGUGGUGCGUGAGGCGUGGCAGAGUGGGAGGAUCCGGAAGCAGAGAGAUCACAUUUCAUCAGCACCGGAAGCAGUGGAAACAGGGAUUGAGUCUGGGUGGUAAAUCCUCAAAGCCCAUCCCCGGUGGUGUACUUCUUAUCAAGGCUCUGCCACCUGCAAGUCUUACUUACAACUUCCUCAAACAGCACCACCUGCGGCGACCAAGUGUUCAAAUUGACGAGCCUACAGGGAACACCGCACAUUCAAACUACCAUAGGAUACCAGAUGCAUGCCAGCAGAGAUUACAGGGGUCAUAAAAGGGCUGAGUCACAAAGAAUUCAGGAGGCACAGGUCGUUGAGAAAGGGGGGGGGGCAAAUUAUGAAUCUUUCAGAUCAACAUUCUGAUUUGCUUUCUACUGAUUUUUGUUCCCUUUUAAAACUGGAACUUUGACAAGGCUAUGUGGGUAGAGACGCAGAGACAUCAGUGAUAAUGAGUAGUAGAAUACUCUAACUACUGCUGCAAUUACUCUACACACAUAAUCUCAUUAAACAUGCCAGAAACCUGGGGUAUACACACAUUGAAUUGUCCACCAUCAGCAAACCUAGCAAAGAGUAGGUUUAGGUGUCAAAAGGUUGAAGAAUCUGACUUCAGGCUAAAGGUCCUUAAGUUCUCUUAAAUACUACAUUUCAGUGACAAGAUUGUAAAUGUCUUACAAUCCAGCCAACCGGGGCAGCACAUAAACACAAUCCCAGAUCCAAUGAGGCCAAGGCCAGAAGAAGGCAAAUUCCAGCCUACCCUGAGCUAACACAGACAGGACCAGUUCCGUGCUAGCUUGGGCUACACAAUGAAAUAGUUGCAAAAAUUAUAACUAAGCGCCCUUCCUUAUUUAGGAGUACGAAGUUUAAGCAAUACUUGGGGGGAUGGUGUUAAACAUUUUCAUCCAGAACUGUCACCCAAGGAUUUGUGUAGUGUGGUGGCUCUGGACUGCACGGCUCACAACCCUUUCCACCUACACACUCCCAAACAGAGCAACACCAGAGGGGGUUUUCCCCAGAACGAAAUAAACCUAAAAUAGUUCAGUUUCUAAUGUUGCAUCCUUCUGCAUGAAGUCACCGACUUAAGCAUGAAUGCCUUUUUGUUUUCGUCCCAGCACCCCAAGGAAACCCCAGUACCGGACAGUAUUCGGAUUUGUCUUCCCUGAGACUCUGAACUUGCAAAUAAGGGCAAAUACACAGAUCAUUACAUUUAAGAGAAGACAGAUCUCUUAUCAGUGUCAGAAAGGAAGCUAAAAAUCUCAUAAAAAUGCUAAUGAUCAUAUCUAUCCCAAAUGCCCUCGCUCAGUACAAAGUUUCCUUUUGAUAACUCCAUGUCGGGCUCUCCUCCCUCUCUUCUUAAUCUCCAUUUCUCAGUAUGAACUUGGAGCAAAUAACAUAAAUCUAUAAAAAGAUACCAGGCAUUCUGUUCCAAAUAUAAUGCUUAGAUAAUAAUGUGAUUGUUGAACUACAGAGCAUGCUCUGCUCAUUAGCAGUGAACUCAGAUGUGAAUGUGCCUCUGUCGGGCUCCUGGCUGGCCCAGCGAUUACGUUCCAGCUGCAGUGCCUGAAGCCUGCUGGCCAUGUUCUGCAGAGCGGAGUCCACUCUGUCCGCCCCAUUAGCUGCCAUUCUUCACUUCCAAUAGCGUUCUUUGCAGCCAUUUCUUAAUCCAGGCAGAGAGAAUUAUUUUUUUUUCUAACAAUGUGGCUGUGAACACUCCUGUAGUUGCAAGCCUUGGUUUGUUUAGGCAAAUAAAUACAGUGUUAUGUGACAAGGCUGUGAUAAUCCUCGAUCUGUCUUGAGCCUUGUGAUACACACACACACACACACACACACACACACUAGUUGUACCCUUGUUUGAGCAAAGUCCACUUCCUAUUUGAAAACUCGAAAAUAUUGAUUCUAAGGCAGUUCAAGGCCACGAGAUGGUAUUUUUGUUGACGAGUGAUUACAAGCUUUUCCCUUAUAUAUUUUUAUAUCCUAUGAGAUACAUAAAAUUAGAAAUCUACAGUUAACUCUUGGAAGCACAACUUUCUGCAGGUGACAUCUAAGGCAAAGGUGGUGAUCUAUGUCCAGCCUAGGUGACAAAAUGAGCCUCCCCCAACCAAAAAAUUAAAAAAAAAAGCUUUUUAAAAAAAGAAGUAGUGAUUUUAUUUUUAUUGUGGAAUUUGAGUAGAGAUUUAUCUUAGAUUGCAUUAUAUUUAAAAUGCUUAGUUUGGCUUUGUUGCUUUUUUUUUUUUGUUUUAGAAAGAAAUUUCUACAAAAUACCUUAAAUUGUGUUCCAAACAGUCAUGCUUUAUGGUUCCAAAUGAUCACUGUGAAGAAAAUAAAAAUGUGCUUUCACAUGAAUAAAGGGUUCUCACUGUAUGAGACUUAAACUCUCUCUGCUUUUCUUUCUCCCCCUCCUCCUCUUCCUUUUCUUC
rnacentral:sRNA from 1 species